UACGGGAGGCAGCAGUGGGGAAUAUUGCACAAUGGGCGCAAGCCUGAUGCAGCCAUGCCGCGUGUAUGAAGAAGGCCUUCGGGUUGUAAAGUACUUUCAGCAGUGAGGAAGGUGGAGUCGUUAAUAGCGGCCUCAUUUGACGUUAGCUGCAGAAGAAGCACCGGCUAACUCCGUGCCAGCAGCCGCGGUAAUACGGAGGGUGCGAGCGUUAAUCGGAAUUACUGGGCGUAAAGCGCAUGCAGGUGGUUUGUUAAGUCAGAUGUGAAAGCCCGGGGCUCAACCUCGGAAUUGCAUUUGAAACUGGCAGACUAGAGUACUGUAGAGGGGGUAGAAUUUCAGGUGUAGCGGUGAAAUGCGUAGAGAUCUGAAGGAAUACCGGUGGCGAAGGCGGCCCCCUGGACAGAUACUGACACUCAGAUGCGAAAGCGUGGGGAGCAAACAGGAUUAGAUACCCUGGUAG
rnacentral:rRNA from 1 species